rnacentral:rRNA from 1 species
GGUUGUCCACGCCGUAAACGAUGAAUACUAGGUGUUGGUGGGCAAAGCCCAUCGGUGCCGCCGCAAACGCAGUAAGUAUUCCACCUGGGGAGUACGUUCGCAAGAAUGAAACUCAAAGGAAUUGACGGGGACCCGCACAAGCGGUGGAGCAUGGGGGGGAAAUAAAAGCAACGCGAAGAACCUUACCAGGUCUUGACAUCGGGGCGGCAGGCUCGUAACGGAGCCGUUCCUUCGGGACGCCCCAGACAGGUGGUGCAUGGUUGUCGUCAGCUCGUGUCGUGAGAUGUUGGGUUAAGUCCCGCAACGAGCGCAACCCUUAUCCUAAGUAGCCAGCAGGUAAAGCCGGGCACUCUUGGGAGACUGCCAGGGAUAACUUGGAGGAAGGUGGGGAUGACGUCAAAUCAUCAUGCCCCUUAUGAUCUGGGCUACACACGUGCUACAAUGGGAGAAACAAAGAGAGGCGAAAGGGCGACCUGGAGCAAACCUCAAAAAUAACGUCUCAGUUCGGACUGCAGCCUGAAGGCCGCCUGCACGAAGCCGGAAUCGCUAGUAAU